ensembl:lncRNA
CUAGUCGUUAACCAAGUUAUUGGCUGUAGUGAGUGGUGCAUGGACUGGAAAACUGGAGACCAACAUUGGGACUCAUGAUGUAGUGACUUCAUCACAAUCUGGUUUGAGGAAUCAGUCACAGAACUUGUUGCCACAUGUGUAAGUUUCAUACUCACGGAGGAUCUCCAUCUGGAAAUUUGGAUUGUUUCUACUUCGAGUUAUCGGGAAUAAGGCUGCUAUGAACGUGGUUAAAUAUCUGCUUGAGACUCCACUCUCAGUUCUUUGGAGUAUAUGCCUAGAAGUGAUUGCUUGAUCACAUGAGAGCCCUGAGGAAUUCUUCGCUGGAUGAGACCCAAUCAAGUCUUCCCUCAAAGCAAGUAAUCUCAUCUGGACACCCUGAAGACACUGCAUUUCCAGGAAUUGGAUGGACUACUCUAGACCAGAGGGCUUCUACAUCUUCCUGUUGAGACCUUCAGGUGGAGCCAUGGCCUGGCGGUGGGGAUGCUGAAGUGGAGCCUGGUGGGAUGAUAAGAUUCCCAUGGGAACAGGAGUUCUCAGAUUCACGAAGCAGAAAAGCCCUGAGUGGGUAUUCCGGACCAGCAAUGACGAAAAAGUCUCAAAUGUUUGCCAACUGGAUUUUCAUCAGUCUAGGAAGUUAACUUGGACCGUCUUUCCAAAGAUGCAAAUCUGAUCAUGACACCCUCCUUCCUCAAACAGUUCAAUGACCCCUCACAGUCAUCAGGAUAAAGCCCACUGCAAUCUACCUAUCUGACCAGGUGAUUGAAGGAAGGGCGAAGUCAGCUUCCUGAGAAACUUCAAAGCGAAAUGUUGUGGAUCACAUCUCUGAGUAAUCUGAGAUUUCAAGAGCAAGAGGGAGAGGAUUUUAAUCUUCAGGGAAAAGAAAAAAUCAAACAGAUUAAAACUCAAAUCCCUCCAGAGGGAACCACAUAUCAAGGGGAUCAAACAGCACCUGAACCUCAAGGAUACUGUUGUGUUCAGGUCAGGUGUUCAACUCUCAAGCCAGACUCAGCCCCUGAAAGGAAAGCGCUAUAUCCUGUUUUCCUUUGAAUUCUCUGGACUCAGGACAGUACCUGGCGCCAAGGGGGUUUUCAACAAACACGUGAUGAAUGAGU